rnacentral:rRNA from 1 species
UCCUUUUGUAUAUAAUUUAAGGUCUAGCCUGCCCACUGAAAUUUUAAAUGGCCGUGGUAUUUUGACCGUGCUAAGGUAGCAUAAUCAUUAGUUUUUUAAUUAAAAACUGGAAUGAAAGGUUGGAUGAGAAAAUAGCUGUCUCUAUUAAAUUUAAUUAGAAUUUUAUUUUUAAGUUAAAAAGCUUAACUAUUAUUAAAAGACGAGAAGACCCUAUAGAGUUUAAUUAUUUAGUAAAAAUUAUAUUUUAGUAUUAAUUUAUUUAUUUUAUUAAAUAAUUUAAUUGGGGUGAUUGAAAAAUUUAAUUAACUUUUUUUAUUUAAAAACAUUAAUUUAUGAAUAAAUGAUCCAAUAUUUUUGAUUAUAAGAUAAAAUUACCUUAGGGAUAACAGCGUAAUUUUUUUAGAAAGUUCAUAUUAAAAAAAAAGAUUGCGACCUCGAUGUUGGAUUAAAAUAAAUUUUUGGUGUAGAAGCUAAAAUAUUAGGUCUGUUCGACCUUUAAAAUUUUACAUGAU